AAAUGAGAAAACUGAAUGUCAGAGAAAUGAAGCAUCUUACCCAAGAACACAGAGCUAGUGAGUAUCAAAGGCAGAGCAGAAACCAAAUUCUUCCUGAUUCCAAGUCAGACACUUCAUCCACUAUUCCACACUGUCUCAUAUUCAUUUAAAGGCAGCAGUGAUUCCAAAAGGUUACAAAAGAUUCAGCAGUUUUAAGCUUGGGAGGCAAUCAUGCCUGACAGCACAGAUCUCUGCCACCAGACAACCCUGGCAUGGCUUGGAAAGAGGAAUCCUUUCCUACUACCUCAGUUUUGGACCCAGUUCAUUACCAUCUGCAGUGCCCAAGUGAUAUAUACUGAGGAUCACCUUGAUGUAUUAUCUUUCCAACUCCACAUCAGAGCCUGGACAAUAGAUGCUAUUCAUCUACUUACUAUUUCCUGUGUGCACAGGUAGAUGCUGUUUCUAGAGAACAUAAGGACUGAGCAAGAUGGAUAAGAAGCUAUUAAGGCAUACAUGAACAAAAGUACAAAUAAAUUCACCAACCCAGUGGAAUUUCUAGCA
rnacentral:lncRNA from 1 species